AUUGAACGCUGGCGGCAUGCCUUACACAUGCAAGUCGAACGGCAGCACGGGUGCUUGCACCUGGUGGCGAGUGGCGAACGGGUGAGUAAUACAUCGGAACGUACCUUAUCGUGGGGGAUAACGCAGCGAAAGCUGUGCUAAUACCGCAUACGCCCUGAGGGGGAAAGCGGGGGAUCGCAAGACCUCGCGCGAUUAGAGCGGCCGAUGCCUGAUUAGCUUGUUGGUGGAGUAAAAGCCCACCAAGGCGACGAUCAGUAGCUGGUCUGAGAGGACGAUCAGCCACACUGGGACUGAGACACGGCCCAGACUCCUACGGGAGGCAGCAGUGGGGAAUUUUGGACAAUGGGGGCAACCCUGAUCCAGCAAUGCCGCGUGAGUGAAGAAGGCCUUCGGGUUGUAAAGCUCUUUUGUCAGGGAAGAAACACCGGCUCUAACACAGUCUGGGAAUGACGGUACCUGAAGAAUAAGCACCGGCUAACCACGUGCCAGCAGCCGCGGUAA
rnacentral:rRNA from 1 species